rnacentral:rRNA from 1 species
UACAGAGGAGCCAAGCGUUGUCCGGAUUGACUGGGCGUAAAGCGCACGCAGGCGGAUGCGCGCGUGGGGUGUGAAAUCUGGCCGCUUAACGGCCAGGCGCCAUCCCAUACGGCGUGUCUGGAGGGCUGCAGAGGUCGAUGGAAUUGCCGGUGUAGUGGUGAAAUGCGUAGAGAUCGGCAGGAACACCCAGGGGGAAACCAGUCGACUGGGC